GCAUAUGUGAUGUGAGUUUGAACAGAAGCUAUCACAUGGUUGUUAGACAAUAUUCCCUUUCACACAUACCCACAUGCGUGCGCGCACACACAUGCACACCCACAGCCAUGUUUCUUCGCUCCCCAGAUGUGACAAAUCUUGAUCUACACAAAUGACACCAAGUAGGAAAAGAGAAGGACAUCUUGACAUAGAAACUGCCUUCUGUCCUAUCUGAGAACUUCAUCAUGAAAUGUAAAACUUGUCAUUUAUUAGCCAUUUUUAACGUGCAGGAUGUUAUAAAAAUGCAAAAUAUGGUCUUCUCCAAAAAAGAGAACAAAUAGUAAACAGAAAUAAAGAUAUGUAGGAAGAGAUAGGUACAUUUCCAUCCAUGCAAUUUUUCUUUAAUCUCCCGGGUAACAGUUUUAUGAACUAUUUCUGGGGGUGGGAUUCCUCCCUAUAGUAGUUGUCUGUUACUGCAUAACACAUUACCCCCAAACUUGGUGACAUAAACAACAAACAUUUAUUAGCUCAGUUUUGAGGGUCAGGAAUUCGGAAGUGCCUUAGCUGCGUGGUUUUCACUCAAGGUCUCUCAUGAAGUUGCAAACAAGAUGCAGGCGGGGCCGCUGGCGGAGGCCGGUGGUGGCUGAUGGCUUGACUGGAGCUGAGGAUCCACUUCUAAGCUCAGUCGCGUGGUUGCUGGCAGGAGCCUCAGUUCUUCUCUGAUUCUUGGCCAGAACAACAGUUCCUUGCCACCUGGGCGCCUCCACAGGGCUGCUUGAGUAGCCUCAGAACAUGUCAGGUGGCUUCCUGCAGGGAGACUCACUAUUGCGAGGUGAUUGUUUGUCAUCAAAAGAUGCUUCCUCUUCUGGGAACUCCCAAGUGAAAAAGAACUGGCGCUGCGGUCCAGAGUCUCCUGACGCCUCCAGCUGCGGCUGAGGAACUUCCCGUCUCUACAGGGGCACACGGGUCAGUCCGCUCUGGCCUGUGGUGAUCUUCGUUAUUCCCUAUUUUCUCACAUUCAGAACCACUGGGGAGAAAAUUGUCCACAGACAGGUGAGUGAGCCGCAGGUGACGGAGAGAGAGACGGAAUCAAGCUGAGUCACGAGCUCUGAGAAACAAGGCACCUCAUCAGCUCAUUUCUAAGACUCUCCGCACAUGGUCUGCGAUCAGAAAAUACACGGUUUUCAUGGAUUUCAAAACCUCAAAAGACAGCGUGGUGGUAAAAGGAAGUUGGAUCUCAAAUCCGCCUGGAUUUAAAUCCUGGUGUCCUUACUGCUGGAUGUCCUUGAGCAAAUCACUUCCACAGGCUGAGCCUCAGUUUCUUCAUCCAAAAAAAAAGUCUCAUAAUAUCUCCCUUGCAGUUUUGUGGUGGCAAUUAAAUGGGCUGUGCUCGGGAUGGGAAGAGCUCAGUGGGCUGUCUGGCAUUUGGUAGUUACAGAUAGUUAAUGAAUGCUCCUUUCUUCCCACAAGAGGCCUCUGUGCCUUGACUCUUUGGUCAAAAGGCCCUCAAGGGCACAUCAAACGGCAGGAGGAGAGCUGCGGGCCAGCACUGAGCACUUCCACAGAGACACGCCACGCCACGUGCAAAGCAGGAGAGAGGUGGGAACCACGCAAGUUAACUGCGGACACGUUGCAAGUGAUAUGGACCAUGAUAUCAGUUUCUCCACAUUAAACCCAGCAUAUGUGGGGUUAAAACCGAAACACUCAUUCCCUGCUUACUCUCUGGCUUCCUGACUCCAGAAUCCACUAUCCUCCAUGGAGACAGACACCGUCAAGGACAAGCACCUGGACUAUCUCCUCCCACAAAGAGAUAUGGGCUGGUGGGAAAGCUGCUGACCAGCAAGGUCAUGAGCUCCCUCCUCUCUGCAAGUGUCUCAAGGCCAAAGACAGGCUGGUGGUAAAGCUCCGACCAGCAAGGCCAUAUGCUCCCCCUUCCCUACCUAAAACCCUUCCUUUUAGCUUUUCGGGGAGUUUGGGAUUUCAGCGUUAGCUGCCCUCUCUCCUUGCUCAGCGCUGUGCAAAAAUAAAAUUCCUACUUUCUUCCACCACACCCAGUGUCAGAGAUUGGCUUGCUGCGCAACGG
rnacentral:lncRNA from 1 species